CUCAGCGGGCAGCAGGCCCUGCAGUAGACCGGCAGCCAUAAACCUCUGCUUGGACAGGAACUGCAGAGACCGGAGACAAAUGAGCUGCUUCGGAGGGGGACUGGCACUCCUUUUACAGGCACUGAGAGGCUUUCCAUGCAGAAUCAAAGCUGCAUUUUCUAAAGGAAAAUCUAGUGCUUAUAUUGAGUUUGGUAUGCUAUUUUCCAUUGUCUGUUCUUAUCCUGUAAGUUAUUUGGAAGUGUUCUAUUUUUAAUUUCAAAUGUGUAGAGACUUUAUGUUUACAUAUCUCCUUAGUGACUUUUUUUUUUUUUUUUGAGACGGAAUUUCGCUCUUGUUACCCAGGCUGGAGUGCAAUGGUGCAAUCUCGGCUCACCGCAACCUCCGCCUCCUGGGUGCAGGCAAUUCUCCUGCCUCAGCCUCCUGAGUAGCUGGGAUUACAGGCACGCACCCCCAUGCCCAGCUAAUUUUUUGUAUUUUUAGUAGAGACGGGGUUUCACAUGUUGACCAGGAUGGUCUCCAUCUCUUGACCUCGUGAUCCACCCGCCUCGGUCUCCCAAAGUGCUAGAAUUACAGGCGUGAGCCACCGCACCCGGCCCCUUAGUGACUUUUAAUUGUAUUGAGAUCAGACCACAUGGUCAGUAUGAUAUUAACAUUUUUUGAUGCAGUCAGAUUUGCUUUAUAUAGAUUAAUACAUGGUCAGGUUUGUAAAUGUUUCAUGGGUUUUUCAGAAUAAUCCAUAUUUGCUAAUUUCCUAAGUAGAAGAAUCUGUAUAUGUCUUUUAAAUAAAACUUUUUAAUUGAUGGUUAGAUAUUCUACAUUUUACCAUUUUGAGUAGGGUUUCUGUUUGAUCUAUCAAAAAUUGAGAGAAGUAUGUUCAAUUUUGCACGAUGACGGAAUUGUCAAUUUUUGGAUAUAUUACCAUCAACUUUUGCCUUAUGCAUUUAAAAUUAUUAAGAUACAUGUAUAUUAUAUUUUUAUACGUACACAAGAUUAGGAUUGUUAUAUAUUUCUGGUCAAGAAGAUUUGUUAUUAGGUAAUCUUUUCUGUUCUCAGCAAUAUUUUCUUCCUUAAGAUGUUUUGAUGGGGAUGGGAUGGUGGACUUCCAUUCUCCCUAGAGUCCAAAACAGAAUCUUGGAUGUAUUGGUUGGUAACUAAAACUGAAACUCUGGGAGACUGGCCAAGGUGGGAAACCUGAUGGGAGCAUUGAGGAACAAGGGAAUGAAAAGUCAGACUCUCUGAACAUUUGAUAAAAUGGACUCUUGUGAACAUUAACAGUGAAUAUUCACUGUUGCACUGUACGAAGUCUCUUAAAUUAAAAGUUUUUAUUGAACCUCCUCCAAAAAAAAAAAUAUAUAUAUAACCUUAAGUUAUAUACAUUAGGGAUUAGAUUUGUUUUAACAUCUCAUUUUUGUUUUCAAUUUGUCCUGUUUUUCAAAACUUCUACUUUCUUGCUUUUUGUUUUUUGAUUGAAGCAGUUGGUUGGUUGGCUGAUAGAUUGGUUGAAUUACUUGUCCCACAUCCCUCUCACCAACACUGCUUUGGAAUAUAUAUAUCCUUUAUUCUUAAAUAGUUGCUUUUUAUCAUCAAAUGUAACAUAGUGUAACAUUAAUAUUUUAAUCUUCAAGACAACUGCUUGUAUUUUAACUUCAG
ensembl:lncRNA